rnacentral:snRNA from 1 species
GUAUUUACCUGGACGGGAAACACGAUGACCAGGAACAUGGUUUUCUCGGGAGGAGUGUCUUCCAUUACACUACAGAUGUCCUGACCUCACAAAUGGCCCCAAAUUUGAGACUGCAGAAUUGAUGGUUGUGGGGGAUUUUGCGUUUCCCGCA